CAGCAGCCGCGGUAAUACGAAGGGUGCAAGCGUUACUCGGAAUUACUGGGCGUAAAGCGUGCGUAGGUGGUGGUUUAAGUCCGUUGUGAAAGCCCUGGGCUCAACCUGGGAAUUGCAGUGGAUACUGGGUCACUAGAGUGUGGUAGAGGAUAGUGGAAUUUCCGGUGUAGCAGUGAAAUGCGUAGAGAUCGGAAGGAACAUCUGUGGCGAAGGCGACUAUCUGGGCCAACACUGACACUGAGGCACGAAAGCGUGGGGAGCAAACAGGAUUAGAUACCCAGUAGUCCCUGUCUCUUAUACA
rnacentral:rRNA from 1 species